UACAGAGGUCCCGAGCGUUGUUCGGAUUCAUUGGGCGUAAAGGGUGCGUAGGCGGUCUUCUAAGUUUGAUGUGAAAUCCCGGGGCUCAACCCUGGAAUUGCAUUGAAUACUGGAGGACUAGAGUACCGGAGAGGAAACUGGAAUUUACGGUGUAGCAGUGAAAUGCGUAGAGAUCGUAAGGAAGACCAGUGGCGAAGGCGAGUUUCUGGACGGUAACUGACGCUGAGGCACGAAGGCCAGGGGAGCAAACAGG
rnacentral:rRNA from 1 species